UACAGAGGGUGCGAGCGUUAAUCGGAAUUACUGGGCGUAAAGCGCGCGUUAGGCGGCUUUGCAAGUCGAGUGUGAAACUCCCCAGGCUCAACCUGGGAACUGCAUUCGAGACUGCAUAGCUAGAGUAUGGGAGAGGGAAGUGGAAUUUCAGGUGUAGCGGUGAAAUGCGCAGAUAUCAGGAGGAACACCGGUGGCGAAGGCGGGUCUCUGGACAGUUCCUGACACUGAGGCACGAAGGCCAGGGGAGCAAACGGG
rnacentral:rRNA from 1 species